rnacentral:tRNA from 1 species
GACCUUAAAUAAUAUAGAAUGCAAUUCUAUAGGGGUAAUUUGAAAUUACUAAGGUCU